rnacentral:tRNA from 1 species
UGGGGGAUCGUCUAGAGGUAGGACGCAUGACUCUGGAUCAUGCUACGGGGGUUCGAAUCCUCCUCCCCCAGCCA